rnacentral:rRNA from 1 species
CACGUAGGGCGCAAGCGUUGUCCGGAAUUAUUGGGCGUAAAGAGCUCGUAGGCGGUCUGUUGCGUCCGCUGUGAAAACUCGGGGCUUAACCCCGAGCCUGCAGUGGAUACGGGCAGACUAGAGGUAGGUAGGGGAGAAUGGAAUUCCCGGUGUAGCGGUGAGAUGCGCAGAUAUCGGGAGGAACACCGGUGGCGAAGGCGGUUCUCUGGGCCUUACCUGACGCUGAGGAGCGAAAGCGUGGGGAGCGAACAGG